GAUGAACGCUGGCGGCGUGCCUAGUACAUGCAAGUCGAGCGAACAGACGAGGAGCUUGCUCCUCUGACGUUAGCGGCGGACGGGUGAGUAACACGUGGAUAACCUACCUAUAAGACUGGGAUAACUUCGGGAAACCGGAGCUAAUACCGGAUAAUAUAUUGAACCGCAUGGUUCAAUAGUGAAAGACGGUUUUGCUGUCACUUAUAGAUGGAUCCGCGCCGCAUUAGCUAGUUGGUAAGGUAACGGCUUACCAAGGCAACGAUGCGUAGCCGACCUGAGAGGGUGAUCGGCCACACUGGAACUGAGACACGGUCCAGACUCCUACGGGAGGCAGCAGUAGGGAAUCUUCCGCAAUGGGCGAAAGCCUGACGGAGCAACGCCGCGUGAGUGAUGAAGGUCUUCGGAUCGUAAAACUCUGUUAUUAGGGAAGAACAAAUGUGUAAGUAACUAUGCACGUCUUGACGGUACCUAACCAGAAAGCCACGGCUAACUACGUG
rnacentral:rRNA from 1 species